rnacentral:rRNA from 1 species
AAAUUGAAGAGUUUGAUCAUGGCUCAGAUUGAACGCUGGCGGCAGGCCUAACACAUGCAAGUCGAACGGUAACAGGAAGCAGCUUGCUGCUUUGCUGACGAGUGGCGGACGGGUGAGUAAUGUCUGGGAAACUGCCUGAUGGAGGGGGAUAACUACUGGAAACGGUGGCUAAUACCGCAUAACGUCGCAAGACCAAAGAGGGGGACCUUCGGGCCUCUUGCCAUCAGAUGUGCCCAGAUGGGAUUAGCUUGUUGGUGAGGUAACGGCUCACCAAGGCGACGAUCCCUAGCUGGUCUGAGAGGAUGACUAGCCACACUGGAACUGAGACACGGUCCAGACUCCUACGGGAGGCAGCAGUGGGGAAUAUUGCACAAUGGGCGCAAGCCUGAUGCAGCCAUGCCGCGUGUAUGAAGAAGGCCUUCGGGUUGUAAAGUACUUUCAGCGGGGAGGAAGGUGUUGUGGU